UUAUUUGAUGAUGCUCUGAUGUCUAUCACUCACAAAAACCAAACCUGGUUCAUCUGGUAUAACUGUUUUCAGCUUGUUAAAGAACCACGACCAACUAGCAUCGUUUUCCCUAUCAAUUACAGCAGACGCAAUGAUAUAAUUGUGAUGAUUAGGAUCUUGGGCUGUUGCAAAAACUAGCAUACCGCCGUAUACGGUCUUAAGAAAAGUGGCAUCCACAAUAACAACUUUCCUCAUAACUUUGAACCCUUCAAUGCAAGCACCCAAAGCAACGAAUAAGUACUUGAACUUUUGUUGUGCAUCCACUUCCACAUAUGAUAUUGUCCCGGGAUUCACCUCCUUUAAUACGUGCAGAUAAGAGUACAAGUCGGUGUAGCUUUUUUCAGGACUACCACGCACAUCACUAACGUGUUGUCUUUUCCCUCUCCAUGCGGUAGCAUACGAGCAAUGCAAACCCAUUCUUCCCCGAACAAUACUCAUUAUGCUUUUAGGUGGUGGAGUUUGAAACUCACCUGGAUAAUCGUCAUGCAAAAUAGACGCGAUUAAUCGUAGUGUGCCGGUAUGUUUACAAAUGCCUGAGUUCUUAUUAGACCGCUUGCAUGUGUGCAUCUUCCUGUGAACUCUAACACUAAAACAAUCUGAACUCUUUACUUUUGCACAUCGUAAAUACCAUCGACAACCUGUUGUUUUAGAUUGCCGACAUCGUAACAUGAGUCGCUGUGGAUCUGACGCUAUAGUUGCGGUCGCAAAACAAUACUUAUUUGCAGCUCUGUUAACCAAAUCUUGCACGACCUCUUUAGAAACAAAUUCUUGGUGCAAUUCAAUCCUCGUUCCAUAUUCCCAUUCCGUAACACUCUGACUUUUCUCACUACUCUGACUUCCUUCACCAACACAUGGAAGCUCAUAAUACUCAAUUCUACCAUCAACACCAUUAUCUUCAGCAACAUACAUCCGGCUAUCCACAUGCUCCCUAUCUUCAAUAACUACAUUCUCCAUAGCCUCUUCAAAAACCCGGCUAUCCGCAUUCUCAAUAGCCUCUUCUACACUAUUAGCCUCUUCAAUAAUCGGUUCAUCAUUCACACAAUUACCUCCUGCAGCUUCUCCUCUAAAAAUCGUCACUACUCCACCAUUCUCCACAUCAAAUGCAUUCAACUCCUCAUAAUUAACACCAACUGAACUUCUUCUCUCUACCCUUGAAAUUUGUUCCACCCUCUCAGAUUCUUUAUUUACUACCUCCACGUUCAAAGCUGGUCUAAUUCCCUUAGCAUUCACUACCGUUAGAUAACCUAAAAAGUCAUCAUCAUCUACAAUAGAUGUCUCUCUCUGAGAUGUGCAUAGAAUAUAACUAAAUUUCACCUUCCUUGAGGUUUCAUCUAUUCCAAUCUUCUUGCAUAUCUUUUCUACUAACAUAGAGUAUGUUACCUUUGACGUCCUCAACAAUACACCGCUUAAAGAAUUGUUUGAAAUCCACUCAUGCUCUUCUGAAUAAUACCCAUUGUCAAAUUGUAUGAAUGUGUGCUUGUUCUUCAUCGUCUCCUGUAAUUACAAAUAAAUUAUAAAAACACAAUUACGUAAUCAUUCAGAUUUAGACAUAAUUGUACCUAUAUUAUAACUCACUAAUACCAUUUGUACCACCUGUCCUAUUGUAUCUCAAUAAAACACUUGUACCGCUUAUACUAUUAUAUCUCAGUUUUACUAUUUGUCCCAGUUCGUCAAUUCUGGGUUUCACAAAUCGUAAAUUUCGAUUGAACACUCACUAAACUCUCUGAUUCAAAACGAUACAACAGCCCAGAAUGAACAAUACAACAAUUUUAUGUUAUUAACAACUAACUCCAACAAGAAAUUCACAUUAAUCUACAAAUCAAAACGAGAUCGGAUUUACUUUUGUCGUUGAAGAGGAAGCUCACUUUAGGAGCAGAUUAUCGGCUUGGAAGCUACGGCGAUCUCGGAAGCUAACUCGCCGGUGAAAUUAGAGCUCAAAUCGCCGACGAAAUCGGAGCUCAAGUCGCCGGUGGCGAAGUCGGAGAAAAUCACGUCGGAAGUCGGAGAAAAUCGCGAUUUUGGUAACGACCGUUUUUCUUUU
rnacentral:sRNA from 1 species